rnacentral:rRNA from 1 species
CUCCAAUAGCGUAUAUUAAUGUUGUUGCAGUUAAAAAGCUCGUAGUUGGAUUUCUGCGUCGCGUAGCUCGGUCCGUGGCACUGCCAUGCGACUGUGGCUAGAGCGUCGCAUCCUUGUGGAGACGGUUCGUGCCAUUAAUUUGGUGUGUUCCGGAACCGCAUCGUUUAACUGUGAAAAAUUAGAGUGUUCAAAGCAGGCUU